rnacentral:rRNA from 1 species
CCUAAUACAUGCAAGUCAAGGGGAUAGCAAUAUCACCGGCGGACGGGUGCGUAACGCGUACACAACGGUGCCCAAGGGCGGAGGAAAGCGGCGGGAAACUGCCGGUAAUACUCCAUGGUGUUGUUGAGUGGCAUCACUUAACAACUAAAGUACAAGCGCCCUUGGAUCGGUGUGCGUUCGAUUAGCUAGUUGGCGGGGUAACCGGCCCACCAAGGCUUCGAUCGAUAGGGGGUGUGAGAGCAUGACCCCCCACACGGGUACUGAGACACGGACCCGACUCCUACGGGAGGCAGCAGUAAGGAAUAUUGGACAAUGGGCGGAAGCCUGAUCCAGCCAUGCCGCGUGAAGGACGAAGGCGCUCAGCGUUGUAAACUUCUUUUGGAUGGGAACAAUAACUCCGACUUGUCGGAACUUGAGGGUACCAUCAGAAUAAGCACCGGCUAACUCCGUG